CACGUAGGGUGCGAGCGUUGUCCGGAAUUAUUGGGCGUAAAGAGCUCGUAGGCGGUGUGUCACGUCGGCCGUGAAAACCUGCAGCUUAACUGUGGGCGUGCGGUCGAUACGGGCAUCACUGGAGUUCGGCAGGGGAGACUGGAAUUCCUGGUGUAGCGGUGAAAUGCGCAGAUAUCAGGAGGAACACCGGUGGCGAAGGCGGGUCUCUGGACAGUUCCUGACGCUGAGGCACGAAGGCCAGGGGAGCAAACGGG
rnacentral:rRNA from 1 species